rnacentral:rRNA from 1 species
UACGUAGGGCGCAAGCGUUGUCCGGAAUUAUUGGGCGUAAAGAGCUCGUAGGCGGCUUGUUGCGUCUGCUGUGAAAUCCCGGGGCUUAACCCCGGGCGUGCAGUGGAUACGGGCAGGCUAGAGGCAGGCAGGGGAGAACGGAAUUCCUGGUGUAGCGGUGAAAUGCGCAGAUAUCAGGAGGAACACCAAUAGCGAAGGCAGCUCGCUGGGACGUUACUGACACUGAGGCGCGAAAGCGUGGGGAGCGAACAGG